CGGCGGACGGGUGAGUAACACGUGGAUAACCUACCUAUAAGACUGGGAUAACUUCGGGAAACCGGAGCUAAUACCGGAUAAUAUAUUGAACCGCAUGGUUCAAUGGUGAAAGACGGUUUUGCUGUCACUUAUAGAUGGAUCCGCGCCGCAUUAGCUAGUUGGUAAGGUAACGGCUUACCAAGGCAACGAUGCGUAGCCGACCUGAGAGGGUGAUCGGCCACACUGGAACUGAGACACGGUCCAGACUCCUACGGGAGGCGGCAGCC
rnacentral:rRNA from 1 species